rnacentral:rRNA from 1 species
UCGCACCUACCGAUUGAAUGGUCCAGUGAAGCCUCGGGAUUACAAUGAGUUUCCUUCAUUGGGAGUCCAUCGCGAGAACCUGUCUAAACCUUAUCAUUUAGAGGAAGGUG